GCUAGCGUUGCUCGGAAUCACUGGGCGUAAAGCGCACGUAGGCGGACUCUUAAGUCGGUGGUGAAAUCCUGGAGCUCAACUCCAGAACUGCCUUCGAUACUGGGAGUCUCGAGUUCGGGAGAGGUGAGUGGAACUGCGAGUGUAGAGGUGAAAUUCGUAGAUAUUCGCAAGAACACCAGUGGCGAAGGCGGCUCACUGGCCCGGUACUGACGCUGAGGUGCGAAAGCGUGGGGAGCAAGCAGG
rnacentral:rRNA from 1 species